rnacentral:snRNA from 1 species
GUGCUCACUUCGGCAGCACAUAUACUAAAAUUGGAACAGUACAGAGAAGAUUAGCAUGGCCCCUGUGCAAGGAUGACACACAAAUUCGUGAAGCGUUCCGUAUAUUU